UACGGAGGGAGCUAGCGUUGUUCGGAAUUACUGGGCGUAAAGCGCACGUAGGCGGCUUUGUAAGUUAGAGGUGAAAGCCCGGAGCUCAACUCCGGAAUUGCCUUUAAGACUGCAUCGCUUGAAUCCGGGAGAGGUGAGUGGAAUUCCGAGUGUAGCGGUGAAAUGCGUAGAUAUCUGGAGGAACACCGGUGGCGAAGGCGGCAUCCUGGACCGGCAUUGACGCUGAGGCGCGAAAGCCAGGGGAGCAAACGGG
rnacentral:rRNA from 1 species